GAGUUUGAUCGUGGCUCAGAUUGAACGCUGGCGGCAGGCCUAACACAUGCAAGUCGAGCGGAUGACGGGAGCUUGCUCCUUGAUUCAGCGGCGGACGGGUGAGUAAUGCCUAGGAAUCUGCCUGGUAGUGGGGGACAACGUUUCGAAAGGAACGCUAAUACCGCAUACGUCCUACGGGAGAAAGCAGGGGACCUUCGGGCCUUGCGCUAUCAGAUGAGCCUAGGUCGGAUUAGCUAGUUGGUGGGGUAAUGGCUCACCAAGGCGACGAUCCGUAACUGGUCUGAGAGGAUGAUCAGUCACACUGGAACUGAGACACGGUCCAGACUCCUACGGGAGGCAGCAGUGGGGAAUAUUGGACAAUGGGCGAAAGCCUGAUCCAGCCAUGCCGCGUGUGUGAAGAAGGUCUUCGGAUUGUAAAGCACUUUAAGUUGGAGGAAGGCAGUAAGUUAAUACCUUGCUGUUUGACGUUACCGACAGAAUAAGCACCGGCUAACUCUGUG
rnacentral:rRNA from 1 species